rnacentral:rRNA from 1 species
AGGCUUUGAUCCUGGCUCAGAACGAACGCUGGCGGCAGGCCUAACACAUGCAAGUCGAACGAAGCCUUCGGGCUUAGUGGCGGACGGGUGAGUAACGCGUGGGAACGUGCCCUUUGGUUCGGAAUAGCCCCUGGAAACGGGGAGUAAUACCGGAUGAGCCCUACGGAGGAAAGAUUUUUCGCCAAGGGAUCGGCCCGCGUUGGAUUAGGUAGUUGGUGGGGUAAUGGCCUACCAAGCCGACGAUCCAUAGCUGGUUUGAGAGGAUGAUCAGCCACACUGGGACUGAGACACGGCCCAGACUCCUACGGGAGGCAGCAGUGGGGAAUCUUAGACAAUGGGGGAAACCCUGAUCUAGCCAUGCCGCGUGAUCGAUGAAGGCCUUAGGGUUGUAAAGAUCUUUCAGCUGGGAAGAUAAUGACGGUACCAUGCUAGAAGAAGCCCCGGCUA